ensembl:lncRNA
GCACAGAGAGAGAGAGAGAGAGAGAGAGACAGAAAAAAGACACAGAAUGAUCGAGAGAAAGAGGGACAGUGAAAGAGAGAGAGACAGGCACAGAAAGAAAGAGAGAGACAGACAGAAAAUAGAGAGACACACACACACAAAUGCACACCGAGAGAGAGAUAGGCAGACACAGAAAAAGAUGGAAAGAGAGAGAGACAGGCACUGAAAAAAAGACGCGCACAGAAAGAAAGAGAGAGACCGAGAAAGAGGGACAGUGAAAGAGGGAGACGGGUACAGAUAAAGAGAUGCCAAGAAAGAGAGACACAGAUGGAGAGAGACACAUGCAGAGAGAGAGAGAGAGAGAGAGACUCUUCCCCUCUCAGCUCCUCCAUUCGUGGAUUUUUGCAUUCCAGCAGGGUGGUGAUGUCAUGAGAAUUGGCCCCGGGCAGACAGGCCUGCUUAUGUUCUCGUGUGUGUGUGUGUGUGUGUGUGUGUGUGUGUG